UACGAAGGGGGCUAGCGUUGUUCGGAAUUACUGGGCGUAAAGCGCGUGUAGGCGGGUCUUUAAGUCAGGGGUGAAAUGCCAAGGCUCAACCGUGGAACUGCCUUUGAUACCGGAGACCUUGAGUCCGGGAGAGGUGAGUGGAAUUGCGAGUGUAGAGGUGAAAUUCGUAGAUAUUCGCAAGAACACCAGUGGCGAAGGCGGCUCACUGGCCCGGUACUGACGCUGAGGUGCGAAAGCGUGGGGAGCAAACAGG
rnacentral:rRNA from 1 species